ACCAUCCACGCACUUCACGGUUCCGCUGCCGCGCGUCUUUUCCGCGCGGCCGGGAUUAAAAGGGAAUCCGGUGUCAGGUCGUAGGACCUGAAAUCCGGGGCUGCCCCCGCAACUGUAAUCGGCGAGUCCUUUGCCACACCGCUGCCACUGGAGAGACGUUUUCUCCGGGAAGGCCGGCCAGGGACGACGACCCGAGAGCCAGGAGACCUGCCGUGUUCAUUGCCGAUCA
rnacentral:ncRNA from 2 species